UGGGGGAUAUUGCACAAUGGGCGAAAGCCUGAUGCAGCGACGCCGCGUGGGGGAUGAAGGCUUUCGGGUUGUAAACCUCUUUCGCUAUCGAACAAGGCCCGCUUAGGGUGGGUUGAGGGUAGGUGGAGAAGAAGCGCCGGCUAACUACGUGCCAGCAGCCGCGGUAAUACGUAGGGCGCGAGCGUUGUCCGGAAUUAUUGGGGGUAAAGGGCUUGUAGGCGGCUUGUUGCGCCUGCUGUGAAAACGCGGGGCUUAACUUCGCGCGUGAAGUGGGUACGGGCAGGCUUGAGUGUGGUAGGGGUGACUGGAAUUCCAGGUGUAGCGGUGGAAUGCGCAGAUAUCUGGAGGAACACCGAUGGCGAAGGCAGUUCACUGGGCCAUUACUGACGCUGAGGAGCGAAAGCAUGGGUAGCGAACAGG
rnacentral:rRNA from 1 species